GCGGCUACCAUGCAAGUCGAGCGAGGACUUCGGUUCUAGCGGCGGACGGGUGAGUAACGCGUGGGAAUGUGCCCUUCUCUACGGAAUAGCCCUGGGAAACUGGGAGUAAUACCGUAUACGCCCUUUUGGGGAAAGAUUUAUCGGAGAAGGAUCAGCCCGCGUUGGAUUAGGUAGUUGGUGGGGUAAUGGCCUACCAAGCCGACGAUCCAUAGCUGGUUUGAGAGGAUGAUCAGCCACACUGGGACUGAGACACGGCCCAGACUCCUACGGGAGGCAGCAGUGGGGAAUCUUAGACAAUGGGGGCAACCCUGAUCUAGCCAUGCCGCGUGAGUGAUGAAGGCCUUAGGGUUGUAAAGCUCUUUCAGCUGGGAAGAUAAUGACGGUACCAGCAGAAGAAGCCCCGGCUAACUCCGUGCCAGCAGCGCGGG
rnacentral:rRNA from 1 species